AUAAUUUCCUGGUAUGGGAGACAGCAUGAUCAUGAAGGUAUUUUUUUCCAGUGCAAGGCUUAUCCACUGCACUCUGGAUGUGCUGACCCCUGCAAUUUCCCCAAAUGUGGGAAACUUGACUGCAUAAUUUGUGGUAGUGGGGGACUGCAUACAUGCUCUGCCCUG